AGGUCACGGCUUCUAGCAACCUGACAGGCGUUGAGCUGAGCCGCCGGCGCGAUGGACGCGGAGAGCCUCCUGUUAUCGCUGGAGCUGGCGUCCGGUAGUGGGCAGGGCCUCAGCCCAGACCGUCGGGCCUCGCUGCUCACUUCCCUUACGCUGGUUAAACGCGACUACCGCUUCGAUCGGGUCCUCUUCUGGGGCCGCAUCCUCGGCCUCGUUGCGGAUUACUAUAUCGCGCAGGGCCUGAGUGAGGACCAGCUCGCACCGCGCAAGACGCUGUACAGCCUGAACUGCAUGGAGUGGAGCCUCUUGCCCCCUGCCACAGAGGAGAUGGCGACGCAGACUUCUGUGGUGAAGGGCCGCUUCAUGGGGGACCCGUCGCAUGAGUACGAACACACUGAGGUGCAGAAGGUGAACGAGGGUGAAAAGGUCUUUGAAGAAGAAGUAGUGGUCCAGAUCAAGGAGGAGACCCGCUUGGUGUCUGUCAUUGACCAGAUAGACAAGGCUGUGGCUAUCGUCCCUCGAGGCGCUCUCUUUAAGACCCCUUUUGGAUCCAUAAACGUCAAUCGGACCUUUGAAGGCCUGUCCUUGUCCGAAGCCAAGAAGCUCAGUUCCUACUUCCACUUCAAGGAGCCUGUUGAGCUGAAGAACAAGACCCUGCUUGAGAAGGCUGACAUGGACCCCUCCCUGGACUUCAUGGACUCCUUGGAGCAUGACAUCCCCAAAGGUAACAGCCUGUUACUUUGAGAAUGCUGGAUCUGCCCCCAGCUCAGAGCAGUGGGCCAAGCCACCUGCUGUUCUUCUCUGAGUGAGUUGGACUGAGGGCCUGGGUGGGAACUGGGAGUUCACCAUGGGACCUUGAGGGUGGAGCUUCCCCAGGGCUCAAUACAGGGCUCCGCUCAUAGUAAACAGGUAGUAAGUGAGGACAAAAGGAUUGAUUGUUCCAUGUGCUUCCACAGACAGGAAGUCUCUCAGUGCCUCUUUUGAUUUUCAUAUCCAUCUCGAAUGGAGGCAAGUUGGGAAUCUCCCCCACCCAAACAUCUCUGAAAACAUCCCUGAAAUACUAGUUACACAUACAUCUCAACUGUUAGUUUCAGAGUUAGAUCCAGUGCUUGGCACAUAGCUGGUGCUCAGGGAGUGGGUGCUGACUGACCUGCUAAAGAAGUGAGUUCUGUGCAUUUUCUCCCUGCUAUGUGUGUUUUACUUUUUAAUCUUAAAAUGGACAACUUCAGAGCCUUCCUGUGCUUCAGGUCCCACCUGGCCCAGGCACAUAGCCAGCAGUUGGUGGUGGGAUCACAGAGACCCCAGAUGCUUCCCCUGAGCUUUGCCAGUAAAGUGUGUCCUGGGAAGAUGCUCUUACUUGGAUGCUACAUCCCAGGACAGGUGCCAGGUUCUGAGCAUUUGGGAGCCAGACCCAAGGCACUGACGCAGUACCCCUGCUUCUUUCCCUUCCCAUGCUUGGUGCUCUGAGAACUGGAGGGCUCUGUUGUUGAUGACAGCAAUAGUAAUGAUAAUAACAACUCCUAAAAGCAGUGACACUGCUUAUUGUGUGCCAGGCACUAUACUCAGUCCUUCCCAUGCCUUAUCUCAUUGUAAUCUUCACAGCUGACCUAGGAGGUAGAUACUAUUAUUAUCCCCAUUUUACAGGUGAAGAAACAGGCUCAGAGAGAUAAGCCCAAGGACACAACUAAUGUUAGAGCAUUAGACUCCAGGGCUCUGCCCCUAACGGAAGUGUCACGUAGAUGGUGUUUUUCUUUUAAGUGGAGAGUGGCGAUGGCAGGACAGUAGUCACCCCCACCACUAGGGGGAAACACUUCUAAGAAGCAACGAGGAACCCCUUUGGGCUGGAACUCAGGGUACGGGUGUGAUGUCAAUAGCGGUUAAAGGCAAGGGCUCUGGAGUCAGAAAGCCUGGGUUGGAAUCCUGAAUCUGCUACAUACUAGCUGUGUGACCUCAGGGAAGUCCCUCAAUUUCCUUGUGCCUCAAUUUCCAAAAGGGGAAUAAUAUGUUCUAUCUCAUUGGAUUGUUAUGAGAAUUAAAUAAGUUAAUACUAUACAAAAUGCUUAUGAUUGUGCCUAACAUAUUAAGGACUGAAGUAAAAAUUAAUAAUUAUUACUUAUAUUAUUUUCAGUGGGAAGAAGGCCUUACUGAGGUGGGUUGGGCAGGCCUAGAACGGCCUAGAUGGCCAAGGGGUAGGAGGCCUAGACCAAGGCAGGAGCUGCUUGUGGCUUGUGAGCAGGUCUGUAAUAAUAAGGCAGUGGUGCAUGGAUGGAUGGAGAAGGGGAAGCCAGGGAUCUGGAGGCAGUUUCAGGUCUACUGCAGUGCCCCAGGGGCCUGGGCCAUAGGAUCCCUGGUGGGUAAGGGCUGCCAGCAAAGAGUGGCUACUCUGGCCUCUGCCACAUGGGGGUGCCAGAAUCAAGCCUCCCUGAACAUAGAAAGAGGGUCCUGGACCUUUUGGGGAGAUGAAGGUUUAUAGGGGCUUGGGCAUUUCUCACUUAUCAGACAUACUUUCCAGACUCAUGUUACCUCCACCAACUCUGCUCGCAUCCUGGCUAGGACCCCGAGGGGGCUGCACAUCCCCUGCUGAUAAAGGGAGCCAGGAACACUGUGGCGGGGGGCCCAGCACCAGGGGCUGAGUGGUGGGCAGGGAAAAGUCCUCCUAAUGUCCUUAACCUGGGGGCAGCAGCCCCUCCUCCCUGAUUCAGGGUGUGGCUGGAAAGCCUGGCUCGGUGCUGACCUUUCAGCCUUCACACCUGCAACAGAAUGUUCCAGGGCCAGCAGACGACACACUCCCUCCAGUGCUCGGUGACCAGGAGUGCCUCCUCCCCCUGGAACUUCAUCCUUUGUGCAGUGGGAGGGGCCAGGAGGGUGCUGGGGCCUUUGCAGCCAUGACCAAAGCUGACUAGACAGGGUGUGGGGGCCAAACAGUCUUCCUAAGGGAACCCCACCAGCCCUAUCUGCCAUGCACUUGGGAUAAAGGGGACACGCAAAGCAGCUGUCUCUCUCCACAGCAGGGGAUGUGAAAUACAGAGCUUUGGGGUAUUCCUAAAGGAUGCUGGGGCCAGUCAGCAAGUGAAUUAAUCAGGCCCCUGGGAGGUAGAGGAUCUGGACCCAGGAGGUGGAUGAGUUGCAGGGGCCUGAGGCCCUAGACUUCUUGCCCUAAUGGUGGGCCUUAGGGCUGAAGGAUCAGCCAAUGAUUCAACACCCUAGUCUUCCCCAGUAUGCUGCUUUGUCCUUAGUGCUGGAGCCUUGGGAGCUGAAGGUUCCUGGCAUCUUGUGUGUGUGUAUGUGGCCUGAGGGGAGGGGUGCUCCCAGCCUGACCCUGGGAAACAUCACAGCUUCUGGGGCACUGGCUCCUUUCCUCCCAGAGCCACCACCAGAAAGCCUCCAGGAAGUCAGGCCCAGUUUUUUUCUCAUAAUGGCUUGAUGGAGGCGUGGGGUGGUGGUGGUGGUGGUGUAGAAGUGUGGAUGGUCAGGGGAGAGCACUCUGAUUUUGCUUCCAGACUCCCUUCCUUAUUGCCAGUGAAAGAGCAGGAGCUGCUGGGAGGCUGCCCCACCUGGCAGACAGCAGCCAGGCUACUAAGUAGGGCCAAAAUCCCACGUUAGAGUCCCCUGGGACACCAGCACUGGCUGGUGGGAUGGAAUUUGGCAGCUCUUCUCUGCCCAGGUAGGGUCACUGUUUCCUUUCUGGGUCUGAGGGGAACUUCGUGUCACCUGUGAGCAGGGAUGGUUUAGGCUGGCCCUGUCCCUGGGACUCCUGCUGUCUGCCCAUGGGGUAGGCCAGGAGCUCAGCAGCUGGUGCCUGGGCCACCCUUGGCUGAAGAGAAGAUGGGGUAUUUCCUGGGGCCACUAAUGCCCUCCUGAGCCAUCCUGCUCUGCAGAGUUUUGUGGGAGUAGGUAACUUUGAGGGCAGAACUAUCCUCCUGGUAGACACCAGGCAACAGCUAAGAGUUCUCUGAGCCUGGGCUGCAGCCAGGUGAUGCAGAGCUCCAGGUCAGGAUGCCAGGUUUCUCAGCAGUACUCUGCCAUUCAAUGCUCUUUAAUCUUCUACUCCAUCAGCAAAUACCACUGAGCAGCUACAACAUGCCAGGCACUGGGGAUGCUGUCAGGAACAAGGCAGACACCGUCCCUGCCUCACAGAGGUUUUGGAAAGACCAAAUGAAAUAAAGGAUGGGAAGUGGAAAUGUAAAACAGAAGGUGCCUCACAAAAAAGGUCAUCGGUGUCCUGCAAAGCAGAGUUGGGGUGGAGGGCAGAAAACCUCUCCUUGCACCACUCUGGGCUGUAGCUGACAGCUGACUGCCUGGCACUGGGCUGCUGGGGCGCCAGCACAAGUGAGUUCUCAGCAGCAAUGCCCAGUUCAGGCAGCAGAGGGCAGCAAGUGGCCUGCCUGUCUGGAAAGUGGCCUUUAAAAUGUGGUUGGGGAGGGGUUGGGGAUAGGAGAGACAGUACUGGAGAGGGGUGGGGAAUGUGGUGUCCGGGUGAUCAGCCCUUCCUUGGCGGGUGUGCAGGUGGGGUUCCUCCCGCCAGUCUCUUGGAAUCCUGGCUGACAGGUGCCUCGACCUUCUAGACCAGAGGUCUGGCCUUGCCCAUCAAUUAGACAGGUUACUCUUCCACCUGUAGCCCCCCACCCAGUGCCCCUGGACAGCUCUGAACCCCAGCCUGGUUCUCCUCCUCAAACUUAAUCUCAGAGCUGUGUUGCCCUUCUUUCUGGAAGACAGGAGAAUGUAAUGAUGAAGAGCAUACACCCAAUUGAGGUUUGAAAACCAGCAAGGUGGGUGAGAUCCUCAGGGCCCAGGACACCCAGGACUUCCUGCUGAUGCAAGAGGCCCCGUUCCUUAUUUACUAGUGUGUAUCCCACUACAUCCUCAAAAAAGAGAGCUUGUGGAGAAGAGUGGCCACCAGGGGGGCGGAGGGGAGGUCUGAGGAGACUUGGAAGAGAGGAGGGGCUUUGAGCUGAAACAGCAGGGCUGCAGGAGGCUGCUUCCCCUGAGUCCUAGAGGUUGUGGCUGGCUGGGCCCAGCCUUUCCAGCAUUUGCAAUAAGUGGGUGAAGGUGACAGCAAGUGCCUGGCUUCCCAGAUAGAUGCUAUGUGACUCCUGGGACAUUAAGAGUCUGUUUCCUGAGUGACAAGCUGAGCCAGGGACAAGGAGAGGACUGGAUUGUGACAGGAAUGCAAGGGAGGGAGAAGGCAGUGUCGGCUGGCCGGUCCCUCACAUGCUGUUUCUGUAGUCUGCCAGCACCCUUCAGCCUGCUUGGCACUGCCCCCCGCCCCGACGGGGGCACUAUAUUUUGCUAGCAUCUCGACCAGGUUCCCCUAGCUCCUGGCUGAGGUCGGGGGAGCUCCUGCUGAUGAGCCUGGGCCCCUCAUCUACUGGAAGCAAGAAGUAGCCAAACCCUAGCUGGGGAGACUGGUGCCAGGGGAAGCCAGGACCCAGCCCUUGCCCAGGAUGUGCCAAGGCGCUGAUGACAGGGAACUGAUAGAAUGGUCAGGGUUGGGGAACUCCCGAUUCCAGUUCUCUGGGGGCAGUGUUUGGCCUGGGCACACUGCAAGCUGCCUUCCCCAGGUGGGUGAAGCUUGACCUUCUUCAGUUUGAGGGGGCUGUGACUGUGGGCUCUAAGGGCAGGGACAGACUCCCCAAAUGAUGCUCUGGACACUGGCAGGGAGAACUAAGCAGGGCUAUCUUCCUAGGGGUCUGUGCUUCUGGCCAAAGGCUGAAUGCAGCGUACUGGGAACACUUCGUUCUGUCACACCCCAUUUCCUGUGACCCCUAGGCCAUCUGUUUUCUGGAAUGAGUGAGUAGGAGGCAAUAGGCUAAGGCCUCUAGAACUCUGCCAGCAGGUCUUGGAGGUGGAAGACCUCAGGUACCCAGAGAGGAAAGCUGUAGGAGCUAGAAGAAAUACUCCCUUCUCUGCCCAGGAAAGACCCCCCCCCCCCAAUCCCUGGCAGUGCCCUGGCCAGAGCUCUGAUAACCCAGGAACACACUUCUUCCUCCUUGAUGCUGUCUGGCUGGCACUGAGCAGGCCUGAGGGAGUGGGAUCAAGCCCACACUGUGCCUUCCACUUCAUCUCAUGGUUGGUGGUGGCACUUGCUGCAGGCCACCGCACAAUGCUGAGGUGGCCUCCAAGUGGCAUCCUCCUAAGCAAACCAGGGGCAGAUGAUCUGCAUGCAGCCAGAAAGCUCAGGCUUUGACCUGGGCAGGUGCUGGCACCUAAGCAAGGCUGAGCUGCCAUCAGGGCCAGGGGUGCUUGGUGGUCAGGUCUCUCAGAUGCAGGGUGGCCCCCUGGUGGGUGGGGCCUGAUUUGUGAGGCUGCUGGGUGUGGAGUGACCAGGGUGGGCCAUGGUUGGAGGAGGCCUGGGGGCAACGGGGCGGUGGGAGCCAGGCAGCCGGGGCUGAGCUGGCAGCUGAUGAAGGCCUCGGCAUAGCUCUCAGUGCAUCACUGGCUGGUCCGGCACCAAAACCUUCAAAGCAUUUGCCUUUCUGGCAAGGCCUGGAGCAGAGCUGCGGCUGGGCCGGGGAGAGGCCUCAGUGCGCAGGGGAAUAGAAGCUCCAGAUCUGCAUCCAGAGGCGAUUUUCCCAGGCUCCUUCCUCCCACACAGCGGCUCCCUCCCUCGGUUCUGGAGCUGGAUCAGGCCCUUCCCGCCAAGUCCUCAUGGCUGCACAACUCAGCCCCGGGCUGGGCUGCUCCCGUCUGGGGAGCAAAAAACCAGGGCAGAACCCAGGACAAAGGCUCAUUAGCUGCAGCCCAAGUCCCCUCCCGCCAAGGAUGGCUCCCAGGCUCCCAGCUGCCAGAAAGGGCUAUUGAGCUGGGAGGCCUGAAACGACCACACUUCUACGUGAGUCUGGUCAGGACUGAUCCAUCUCUGAGAAGAGGCUUCUGGGCCUGGGGACAAGGGCAAAUGGGUCCUGGAGCAUCCAGAUGGAGAGGGGCAAUGCCCUGGUGGUGCUGCGCAGCCUGCUCUGGCCGGGCCUCACCUUCUACCACACUCCCCGCACCAAGAACUAUGGCUACAUCUACGUGGGCACCGGCGAGAAG